rnacentral:tRNA from 1 species
GGGGUUGUGGCUCAGUAGUAGAGCACUCACCUAGCACGUGUGAGACCCUGGGUUGGAUUCUCAGCACCA